GAUGAACGCUGGCGGCGUGCCUAAUACAUGCAAGUCGAGCGAACCACUUCGGUGGUGAGCGGCGAACGGGUGAGUAACACGUAGGUGAUCUGCCCAUCAGACGGGGACAACGAUUGGAACGAUCGCUAAUACCGGAUAGGACGAAGUUUAAAGGUGCUUCUGGCACCGCUGAUGGAUGAGCCUGCGGCGCAUUAGCUAGUUGGUAGGGUAAAGGCCUACCAAGGCGACGAUGCGUAGCCGACCUGAGAGGGUGAACGGCCACACUGGGACUGAGACACGGCCCAGACUCCUACGGGAGGCAGCAGUAGGGAAUCUUCGGCAAUGGGCGAAAGCCUGACCGAGCAACGCCGCGUGAAUGAUGAAGGCC
rnacentral:rRNA from 1 species